CCUGGCUCAGAUUGAACGCUGGCGGCAUGCCUUACACAUGCAAGUCGAACGGCAGCGGACCUUCGGGUGCCGGCGAGUGGCGAACGGGUGAGUAAUAUAUCGGAACGUACCUUUCAGUGGGGGAUAACGUAGCGAAAGUUACGCUAAUACCGCAUAUUCUGUGAGCAGGAAAGCAGGGGAUCGCAAGACCUUGCGCUGAUUGAGCGGCCGAUAUCAGAUUAGCUAGUUGGUGAGGUAAAGGCUCACCAAGGCGACGAUCUGUAGCGGGUCUGAGAGGAUGAUCCGCCACACUGGAACUGAGACACGGUCCAGACUCCUACGGGAGGCAGCAGUGGGGAAUUUUGGACAAUGGGCGCAAGCCUGAUCCAGCCAUGCCGCGUGAGUGAAGAAGGCCUUCGGGUUGUAAAGCUCUUUCGGCCGGGAAGAAAUCGCACAGGUUAAUACCCUGUGUGGAUGACGGUACCGGAAUAAGAAGCACCGGCUAACUACGUG
rnacentral:rRNA from 1 species